rnacentral:lncRNA from 1 species
GCAGGCAUGCUGCACGUUAUGAUAGUCUUCCCGUGGAGUGGAAGAAGCCCUGUCCCCUGUAGCAUGUUCAGGGCCUGGCCUCCUCUAGGUAGAGUCCUGACUGAUGUUUCUCCACCAGCUGUACAGUUUGCUUGAGAGGAUAAACCCAGACCACAGCUUCCCGGUCAGCUCACACUGCCUCCGAGCAGCAGCCUUCUAUGUACGAGGACUCUUCUCCUUCUUCCAGGGCCGCUACAACGAAGCCAAGAGAUUUCUUCGAGAAACUCUAAAGAUGUCGAAUGCAGAGGACCUGAACCGCCUUACUGCCUGCUCCCUUGUGCUGCUGGGUCACAUCUUCUAUGUGCUGGGAAAUCACAGGGAGAGUAACAACAUGGUGGUACCUGCCAUGCAGCUGGCCAGCAAGAUCCCAGACAUGUCUGUGCAGCUGUGGUCAUCUGCCCUCCUGAGAGACCUAAACAAGGCAUGUGGGAAUGCCAUGGAUGCCCAUGAGGCCGCACAGAUGCACCAGAACUUCUCACAGCAGCUGCUGCAGGACCACAUCGAGGCCUGCAGCCUCCCAGAGCACAACCUCAUUACGUGGACAGAUGGCCCACCCCCUGUGCAGUUUCAAGCUCAGAAUGGACCCAACACCAGCUUGGCCAGCCUUCUGUGAGGCCUGCGUCCCCAACUUGGACCCAACACUGGAUCUCUCUGGGAACAAAACCACCAGGGUGCCCACCAGCCCCUCACCAUUGUCCGUCAUCUGCCUCUGAGGGCGACAGCCAGUUGCACCUGUUCCAGAGCUCAGUGCCAUCUGCUGAAGGGACUGAUGGCCUAAUCUGUGUCUGGAUGUCACCUGAAAAGAACAGGGUGACAGUGUGUGUGUGUGUGUAGGUGUGGGCAUCUUCUGAGUGCUCAACCAAACCUAAGUGCAGCUGCACAAAGGGGCCUUCAGCCCAGGGCAAGCUGAGGGAAAGUGGUGGCUCUCAGUUUCCUCAGCCUGCUGUUCUCCCAGUGUCCCUGCACUCAGGGACUUCUGAGGUGACCCAGUGCAGGGGAGGAGCUUGGCAAGAAAGAGGUGUUCGUGUGCAGUUGAUGAGGCUGAGCGUUGGUGUGCCUGUCAGAAGCUCCUGCUCAGUCGGCAUGAGCCCCGUUGGACCUGGAGAGGAGGUUCCCUUCCUGGCAGCUAUUUGGCUUCCCCACGGAGGACAGUUAUGGGACCAGCUCGGCUCUUCUUGGCUUGACAGCAGCCCUGAGGUUGACAAUGAUGGGGAUGGGGAAACAGUGGUUCCUGCCAGCUCGUGGUAUCUAGGCAGGUGCUCGGACGCUGUCACCAGGCAGUGUGAAGGCCACUUCUCAGAGCUUUGGACUCCAUGACUGAAGGGACAAAGCUCCAAGGCCUUCGUGGACAUUCUCACUGAGCCAUGUGGCAGCUGCUGCCCAUGGCCAGGUGUUCCCAACCCUUCUGUCUUCCUCUAGCCCUUUGGGUCCCACGGACCUACCCUCAAUACUUGCAUCACAGCCACAACCCUGCCUAUUUAUUUAAGCCUUUUUUUUUUUUUUUUUUUUUUUUUGCUUUUAGGGCAUUUUGUACAUAGAUCAAUUCAAACAAGGACCUCUCGACUUGCCAUCUGUGCUGAUAUUAGAGUGCUUUUAGUGUCCACAUCUCAGGCAUGUGAAAGCUAAGGACAAGGUCAUGACAAACUCCAUAGUCAGUGUUGAGGUUCCACCUCCCUGGCCUCAGGACAGUCACCACAGUGUCCAGUAACCCAGUAGUUAAAGAUUGAGGGGGGAAUCCCAGAGAGGCUGGCACUCAAAGAUAUUAUAACCCAGGAGUCACUAAGAGCCAGCCACAAGCCAGGCUAACUGUAGCCUAUACAAAGCUGUUCCCCUUAAGCCACAGGUGACACUCUGAGUGAAGGAAGGCAUGUCAUAUGUUGAGAUGUUUUGUUUGUUUUUAUAAACAUGGUGGCGUUGCCUGGUUUUAGCAGCCUUUCAAUUGGGAACUGUAAGCUGAGAUCUCUGAGAAGUCUGUCUGUUGGUCUCUUCCUUUGGGACCACUACUCCCCAGUCUUUCCAUUUCCCACUCUCCAGCCCUGCCAGCAGCUCCUCUACUGUGGACUGCAGCCCAGAGGCAGGGGCAUAGCCCCUUUUCAACCCUGCCUGGUGGGAAGGAGUCCACAGCUCUGUUUGUUCUGGCUAGAUAUUGACCGCUUUUGUGGGGUUGGCGGCUCUUGAGGUUCUGCAGUGGUGCCACACCUCAGCCUCCAAUGCCUGGCUCUUGGGGUUUGGCUUUGGGGUUUUGAUUGGAAGGAGCAGUGUUUAGUUAGAGCUUUUGUUUUUUGAGACAGUAUCUCUUGUUCAUGGAUGACCUUGAACUCUAUUCUCCUCCCUCCACUACCCUAGUACUGGGAUGACUGGCAUGUGCCAUUGUGCCAGCUUUACGUGGUGCUGCUAGGCUAGCAUUCUGCCAACUGAGCCAUAGCUUUAUCCUGUGGUCCAAUCUUGAUACAGUAGUUGGUUUGGACCCUCUGUGAAGGGUGUUGUGCCCUGCAGUUUCAGCACACCAGCCCCCAGACAGGCUUGCUCCUGUGCCCGGGUGUCCCUGUAGUCCCCAAGUUCUUAUAAGGCAGAAACCAGCUGGCUCACACCUGUCAUCCCAGCACCUGGGAGGCCGAGGUGGUAGAACACUCCCAAGUUACCUGCCUGUAAGGGUCACACCGUAAAAUACCAGUAAAGCGAUAAAGAAGAGCCUGGGCGACCCCAUACCCGAGGCUACGGAAGGCUUUUUGCUUUUCCAUGGGUUAGUUGAUGCUUGACUAAGUUGAUAUUCAUAUAAAAUUAGACAGGUUUUUUGUUUGUUUUGGGGAGGGGGGUGGUUGGGGUUUUUUUUUGUUGUUUUUUUUUUUUUUGUUUGUUUGUGUUGUUGAGUAAAUUUGACAGAAUUUAACUGUCUAGCUUAUCUCGUAGCUGCUGUUCCCCAAAUCUCACCCAAGGUUAAGGUCUGAGCUACCACUCUAGGAUUAUUAGACUGAUUGGUUUUGGUAUCUUGGUUUCAGGAUCUCCACUGGUUUACCUAGGAAAUUCUUAAGUGUCAACCUCAUGUUUCUGAGACCAUAUAUAGAUGGUACCUGCCCCCCACACCCUCUCUCCAGCCAUUUGUUUUGUAGGUUUGUGUUUUGCUGGGGGUGGAACCAAGCCCUUGUGCACAGCAGACACACCUCCCACACUGAACUACACUGCAGCUGCUCCUAAAUUCAAGACCCCAGUGCUCAGAGGACUCCAGGUAUGCCAUUGUAUGCCUAGGCACUGUCCUUUCUGAGAGGGUUCAGAGUCCAGCUGUGUGUCUCCUCCACACCUGGGCACAUCUGCCUUCUAGACUCCGCCUAAGCUAGAUUUCAGGUAGAGUCUGUUCAUCCUUUGUCAACUUUAAGGUUAUAUCCUCGGAACAGGCCAGGGCCCCACGCCCCACCUCACCAACCAGCCUUUGGAGAGGUGUGCAAGAUGGAUCCUCAUGCUUCCCUUGUGUGCACCUGUGACAGCGAGUGUCUCCAUCUGGAAGGUUGGAGUCUCAUCAGCCUGUGCUCCUCAUGAGAGCGGCCUUCCAUCCCCAAUAGCAAAAACACCCCCCAGCCAGGCGAAGUGGUAUAUACCUGUGAUCCCAGCACUGAAGAGGUAGAUCAGGAGUUAAGAGUCAUCCUCAGGCUAGCCUGGGCUACAGGACCUUGUGAGAAUAAAACAGGAACUAGAGGAAUGGUUCAGCAAUUUAGAGGCCCAAGUUCAGUUCCCAGCACCAUUGUCAGGCAGCUAAUGGCCACCUGUAACUCCAGCUCCAGAGGGUCUUACAACCUCUCUGGCCUCUACACAUAACCUGAACACUUACAGCAUUUAUACAUAAAGAUAAAUCUGAAAAAUAAAAGAAUUGGCAAGAUGGUUCAGAGU